AGCGAACGCUGGCGGCAGGCCUAACACAUGCAAGUCGAACGAAGUCUUCGGACUUAGUGGCGGACGGGAGAGUAACACGUGGGAACGUGCCUUUAGGUUCGGAAUAACUCAGGGAAGCUUGAGCUAAUACCGGAUGAGCCCUUAGGGGGAAAGAUUUAUCGCCGAAAGAGCGGCCCGCGUUAGAUUAGCUAGUUGGUGAGGUAAAGGCUCACCAAGGCUACGAUCUAUAGCUGGUCUGAGAGGAUGAUCAGCCACACUGGGACUGAGACACGGCCCAGACGCCUACGGGAGGCGGCAGUGGGGAAUCUUGCGCAAUGGGCGAAAGCCUGACGCAGCCAUGCCGCGUGAAUGAUGAAGGUCUUAGGAUUGUAAAAUUCUUUUACCAGGGACGAUAAUGACGGUACCUGGAGAAAAAGCCCCGGCUAACUUCGUGCCAGCAGCCGCGGUAACAC
rnacentral:rRNA from 1 species